AUCUGAGCGAGGGCGCCUCUUAGGCAGACGCAGAGCUGAGGCGGGAACCCUGGCGUUUUGUGGAGAGUGACUUUUAAUUUUCUGAGGAAAUGUGAAGUGUGCCGUUGCCAUGCGCUAACCUAUUAUUCUACCACCAAGAUGCCCUUGGCACAGUCAUCUACUCACUAGUGGACCACCCAUCAUCAACUGGGCCUCAGGCUCCUUUGAUAUGAUCCCUGCUCAUUUAGACAUCUUUACCUGCUGUUUCUGGGACUGUCCUGAGUCAUUUGCCCUACCUCAGUGAGUAUAUGUAGUCUGUGACUCCCAGCUCUUCUUGAACUAGUCGUUCUACCACAACUGUGUGAUUAUUUGAGUAGACCAAUGAUGAACUGAACUAUUUUUGGGGGUGGGUGUGCUUGGUCAAGAAGAAUUGAGAACAGAGAACAAGAAGACAGCUGGAGGGACUUUCUUCCUCUAUAUGUUGUUGAUAGGGUAUCCCAUCUUCCCCCAAGAAAGAAAUCACAUAAAUAUUUGAAAGAACCUACCCCAUAUCUUCAGCAAUUUUAGGUUUAUCUUCUUGGGAGCUUUCUGAGGAUGCAUUUCCAUUUGCAAGGUUUCUUGGUAUAUCAGAGAAAAAGACUAAUUUUGGCUUACCCACCUGUGGGUAAUAAACAGGAACUAUGUGAUGGAUUGUUUCAAAGUUACCUGUAGUGUACAAAGAAUUAAAAGGAUUCUGCUUUGAAACUAAUAACUAAAUUGUAAACAAGGCUUAUAACAGCAUUAGACUAUCCAAAAUUAUAAUUUAUGAAAUGGAAUUAAAGUUAAAUAGAUCCACAGUAAGACCAAUUAAAAACUUAUAUCCCAGAUAAAGUAUCACAGACUUUCAUACAUAAAAACCUACCCAGGAAAAUUUAUGGUCAGCCCUCAUUGACAAAAUGUGUACACCAACGUUAACAUAAGUAUUAACUUUCCUUGCAUUCUGCUCUUCUGAGUUUAGUUUUUCAGAGUGUUAGGCCUUUAGAGAGUAUAUUAGUUAUGUAUAGUUUAUAUAUAGUUUUUGUAGUAUGUUCAUACCUUUAUUUUGGUACUUACCAUUCCACAUCAUUUUCCUGUUUACAGAUCCUCCUCCCUUUCCAGCGGUUAUUUCCCUUUGAAUGGGGACUGUUUUAUUCACCUUUAAUUACAGUGCCUAGCAUAGUCCUGUGCUCAGAUAUUUAUUAAAUGAAUAAAUGAAUGUUUUCAGAGAAGCACUACAAAA